rnacentral:rRNA from 1 species
CGCCAGACUCCUACGGGAGGCAGCAGUGGGGAAUAUUGCACAAUGGGGGGAACCCUGAUGCAGCGACGCCGCGUGGGCGAGGAAGUAUUUCGGUAUGUAAAGCCCUAUCGGCAGGGAAGAAGAAAUGACGGUACCUGAAUAAGAAGCACCGGCUAAAUACGUGCCAGCAGCCGCGGUAAUACGUAUGGUGCAAGCGUUAUCCGGAUUUACUGGGCGUAAAGGGAGCGCAGGCGGCGCGCCAAGUCUGAAGUGGAAGGCCGGGGCCCAACCCCGGGAGUGCUUUGGAAACUGUGCGGCUAGAGUGUCGGAGAGGCAAGUGGAAUUCCCAGUGUAGCGGUGAAAUGCGUAGAUAUUGGGAGGAACACCAGUGGCGAAGGCGUCUUGCUGGACGAUGACUGACGUUGAGGCUCGAAAGCGUGGGGAGCAAACAGGAUUAGAUACCCCCGUAAAA